UUUGGAGGGCAAGUCUGGUGCCAGCAGCCGCGGUAAUUCCAGCUCCAAUAGCGUAUAUUAAAGUUGUUGCAGUUAAAAAGCUCGUAGUUGGACCUUGGACCUGGACAGGCGGUCCGCCUCACGGCGAGUACUGUCUUGCUGGGUCUUUCCUCUUGGUGAUCUGUUGUUCGGCAGCAGGAACCAGACGCUAGUGG
rnacentral:rRNA from 1 species